rnacentral:tRNA from 2 species
GGGGGUGUAGCUCAGCGGAAGAGCGCCUGGAUCGCACCCAGGAGGUCAUGGGUUCAAAUCCCAUCAUCUCCACCA